ensembl:snoRNA LOC120101314 small nucleolar RNA SNORA17
GCUUUCUCUAGAGGCAUUAAAGGAAUAACUGUGUGUCACAUGUGAGUUGGUUGGUGACAGAGAUGACAGAGGCUAUGUCUAUGUUCAGUGUUCUGACCUGUGAACAUCUGAAUAAUUAGUAGCCUAAAACU